ensembl:lncRNA
GCUUUAUUGGAGCAGCAUUAUGGCCGAUAAAAUGGAUAUGUCUUUAGACGACAUUAUCAAGCAGAACAGGCAGCAGAGAGGUGGAGGCCGAGGCGGAAGAGGCCGAGGCCGCGGAGCCUCCGGUGGCGGACGAGGAGGCCCUGGGCGUCUUGGAGUCAGCGGCGGCGGAUUUGGAGGCCGAGGCGGCGGAACCGGCCCCAUGAGGAGCCGGUCGAACCUGAGCCGCGCUAGAGGCAGACCGACGCCUUACAAUAGGGUAUGAGAAAAUUAGCGGAAUGGGCAGAAAAGGAGAAAACCGUCGGCAGACCUGAAAAUGCCUGGUUAACGUCCUUCUAUUCUCCAGUAGGCUUGCAAGCUAACGUCUAGCCAGCUUGCUAAUCAAGCGAAUAAAAGGUUCGCUGUGACCGCCGAGUUUCCCUCGCGGAGGCUCUAUGAUUUGCGGUUAAAAAAAAAUAAUGGAAGUUGUAUGCGUCGUGUGUCCCUUCUCCCACCACCCAUUUGUGUUUCAUCGUUUUUUUUUCUUCAAGAGGAGGCAUUUUGGAGGAGCGCGCAUGUUAGCCACAUGCUAACUAGCUCAGGCUGGAUCGUGACGGCCUCGACGGCGCCAUUUCGAGUCCGACACCUUUCUUUUUUUUUUUUUAAUUAGCGCUAGUCGUCCAGGGUCUGUAACGGCUUUCCAACACAGCUGUCAGAAUGGCGGUGAAAGGAAACCACUUCAUCGACAAAAUUCACCCAAAUGUUUUUUUUUCCACACCACUUUUGGAGCGUAGUUUUUGUCCUCGUACCUACGCAGCGUCCUGGCGGCUUUUGUUCGAAGGUGGCUGCGUCUCACGACAAGGCCUCUUUGUUGGCUUCUCAACCAGCGUGGCCGUUACUUGUGGAUGGAUCGGUGGACUUCUCCCCCCCCCCCCCGAUAGUGUUCACCCGAGGCACAACCUUCACUCCUUAAGUGUGAAUGAGUUUAGACGAGCCCAACAAAGCCCCAAUCAAAAUGGCGUGGUCUCAAAAUGGACGCACAGAUAAUCCACGCUCUCGUACAGGGGAUAGCUGGCCCUUAUCUGGUUGCUUUUCCUGACCACCCCCUCAUCUUAUGGACCCCCCCCCCCCCAUCCUUCGUGAUAGCCCGUUUCGUGGCUUGGUAAAGAACUUUUGGUCGUGCCAGGAAUCGCGGUGCAGCGCUGGAGGCAACGCUGCUUCAGAUGGCGACGCCCUGCGUACCCGAGGAUCACAUCUGGAGAGCCUUUGGUGGAGGCGCAGAUGGCAAGAGAACAAUGGGCAACACUGGUAGCUAGCCGGGGGGGGCAAGCUGUGCAGGGGUUAGCAUAGACCUUUUUGGGGUGGGUUAUUGAGUAAAUAAUACAUUCUCAGCAAAUGCCAUAGGUCUUAAAUUGACUUUUUUUUAUGUGUAGAUUAUAAAAGUGAUUUAAAAUGUAUUCCUUUGCUGUUUUUUUUCUGUAAAAGUCCUCUGUCUGAACUGAUUCACUUGCUUGUAGUGAUGGGGUGGGCAGGGAAUAUUUGGGAAUCCUCUUUGGGGGGGAACUGAGCGCCCUGUCGGAAGUGGAGCCCCUGCUUGCCCCAACACCCAGCCUCGUGGACUCUGUGAUUGACAGAGGCAGGGGGAUCCUGAAGUCAGCAGGUGCGUUCUCUUUCGUCUGUUGCAGCCCAAACAGCUUCCAGAUAAGUGGCAGCAUGACAUGUUUGACAACGGCUUCAGCGGAUUCAGU